GGUAAAAUGGCUGAAUAUUUAGGCAAUAAACUGUAAAUUUAUUUAUGAAAAUUAAUUUCUUUUACUA
rnacentral:tRNA from 1 species